rnacentral:lncRNA from 1 species
CUCUUUCUCUCUCCUCCAUUGUUGGCGACGACAGCAGUGACUAGUGGUGGGCUGGGCGCAGCUGGGCGGCGGCGGGAUGAGCUCGACGGCGAGGCGUGGUGGCGCGGCGGCGAUGCUCCUCCUUCCCCUCUUCUCUUUUCUCUCCGUGGAUCCCUCUCCUCCUUCCCUUUUUGUUUCAUUUUCUUUUCUGAAGGAGUUGUGUGGUGUUGUAUUUU